CAUUAUGCAACUACUAAGACCACGAUAAAACAAUUUGGUAAUGUACCUCUGUAUAUAACUAUUUAUAAAAGAAAACUUUUUCAAAACUAACAAUUUGUUGUUUUAUUGCUUUUGGAUUUCGAACGGAACAAGGAAAUUGCAUUUACUUUUACAAUAUGUAUUGUAUAGGUACUUAUUGCAGCGGUUUUUCUUGUUUUUUGUCUCUGAAAACUAUUUUCGGGAUAAUAAUAUUACAAUAUUCCGCGAAAGUUUCGUACUCGUACACUAAUUUGUUGAAUAAGUUUAAUUGAGUAACGGCGGUAAAUAUAUGUGAUAAAAAAAAAAAAAAAAAGGUUUCAUUUCGAAUUGGUCUCAACCCAGGAAGAUGUCCACAAAAAUCGUAAUAGUAUGCUGAGGAAAAAUUCAGCGAUUUGUUAUAAUUAGGGCUCGGAAGUUAUAGAAGCUAAAAAGGCAAAAUAUAGAUGCAAAUAUACACGGAAAACUUAUAAAAUAUGCAUGAAAAAAUCGAAAAUGUGCAAAAAAUUUAAUAAAUAUGCAAACAAUUAUUCAAAAAAAUUUAAACACAUUUUGUACAUUAAUAUACACAAAAAAAAAAGAUGAAAUUGCAUCGUUGUUGUUAAAUUAAUAAUAAACUGAGGC